CAUACAUAUUUUAUUCUCUUGCUUUUGUUACAGAAUUGGCGGGUGGGAGAAUUUCUUCCAUUGCAAUAAAUGCCGAUGCUGCUACUCGGUUCUUUUGAAGAAUAGCCAUCCCUGUGUUGAAGGAGCAAUGCAUAAUGACUGCCCUGUUUGCUUUUGAGUAUCUAUUUGAGUCGAGAAAUGAUGUAACCGUCAUGCCCUGUGGGCAUACUAUUCACGAGAGCUGCUUAAAGGAUAUGCAUGAACAUUAUCGCAGCGAAAUUUGGGACUGGCAUGGAGAGGGUUAUUGUCUCCAGAAGGAAACCAAUCUGGACAUAUCUCCAUGCCUUUGGGAUGGAGUAAGCCAGAAUGAAGAAGAUCUGUCCUACAUGUUUGACGAAACAACACCUGUUAAGGCCUGUGGGGAUUUGGCUUACCAUGUUGCUGACAAUGUAAACAUGGACAAGGAAUUACAGCAAUGCACGGAGAUGUCUUCACAAGUAAAGAGACGUCGAAUGCUGCAGUUUGACAAUGAGAUUUUGGGUUCCCCUCUUUGCAAUGAGGAGAUAUCAUCUGUCUUCUUAAAAUCGAAGGUGCGUGAUCUUGUGGAAGCGUCAAAUAUGUAUGGCACUUUAAAUAACGUACUUGACGUUGAUGUCAAAAAUGACACAGUGAGAACACAAGGAAGCCUUUCAUGUAAUCUACGCAGAGUUAGGCAGGGUCUCGACCUCAUCAGAGCUAUAUUCGAAAAUUUUUUGUCUUCAGAGUAUUGCUCUUUAAAAGAAGCAGCCUCAGAAGCUUAUGCACAAGUUUGUGCACCAUACCAUACAUGGGCAGUCAGGACAGCAGUUUAUGCUGGAAUGUGUGCUCUCCCAACGUGGGAACAACUGCUGCUGAAGCUAAAUGAAAAUGGUGAGAUUGUGAUCCCUUUAUAGGCAGAAGUGAUAUGGUUUUGUGUCAUAAUUUGACCUGGACCAUUGUUAAAGUUUUGAAUUAAAUUCCACAAAUUAGGCCCUUUACUAGUACCGGAGCCGAAGUUUAUACCAGCAUGUCGGAAAACUUGUGGUGUUUACAACAUUCAAAUUGAUUAUACUUAUCAGAUGAAUAGUGUAUUCUAAAAUUAUUGAUGUUCUCAAUUUCUCCA